rnacentral:misc_RNA from 1 species
GAAGGCCACCAAAGGUAUGUUUUUAAACCAUUUAUUCUAGCCAUUGCCACUAACCAUUGGUAUUAUGGGUUUAAUAUGACUGGAAAUAUGAAGAAUAUGUCCUCCUUACCAACUUAAAAUUAUCAUUAUAAUUAUUUCACUAUUAGUUUCAGGAAGUAGCUUAAACCAGUUAUUAGUUGUGACUUUGUUGAAGAAUGAUCAUCUUGCUGCAAUUUUCAGCAUUUGUUAUCUGUAAUGUGAACUUUUGUACUCUAGGAAAUUAUAUCUUGAUGGGCUUGAAGCUUUCUUAUUUCUAGAUUCAAAACCUAAUGAUUCAAAAUUAUGGUUGAAUGCAGCAUUUUGAGGACUUUGUUUUGG